GGCUCGUUGGUGAAAUGGUUAACACACUGCCCUCUCAAGGCAGCAUUUACGGGUUCGAACCCCGUACGAGUCA
rnacentral:tRNA from 1 species